rnacentral:tRNA from 1 species
UGGAGAGUCGUCCAAUGGUAGGACAGCUGACUCUGGAUCAGCCGAUGGGGGUUCAAGUCCUCCCUCUCCAGCCA